UACGUAGGGUGCGAGCGUUGUCCGGAAUUAUUGGGCGUAAAGAGCUUGUAGGCGGUUUGUCGCGUCUGCCGUGAAAAUCCGAGGCUCAACCUCGGACUUGCGGUGGGUACGGGCAGACUAGAGUGUGGUAGGGGAGACUGGAAUUCCUGGUGUAGCGGUGAAAUGCGCAGAUAUCAGGAGGAACACCGGUGGCGAAGGCGGGUCUCUGGGCCGUAACUGACGCUGAGGAGCGAAAGCGUGGGGAGCGAACAGG
rnacentral:rRNA from 1 species